GACGAACGCUGGCGGCGUGCUUAACACAUGCAAGUCGAACGGAAAGGCCCUGCUUUUGUGGGGUGCUCGAGUGGCGAACGGGUGAGUAACACGUGAGUAACCUGCCCUUGACUUUGGGAUAACUUCAGGAAACUGGGGCUAAUACCGGAUAGGAGCUCCUGCUGCAUGGUGGGGGUUGGAAAGUUUCGGCGGUUGGGGAUGGACUCGCGGCUUAUCAGCUUGUUGGUGGGGUAGUGGCUUACCAAGGCUUUGACGGGUAGCCGGCCUGAGAGGGUGACCGGCCACAUUGGGACUUAGAUACGGCCCAGACUGCUACGGGAGGCAGCAGUGGGGAAUAUUGCACAAUGGGCGGAAGCCUGAUGCAGCAACGCCGCGUGCGGGAUGACGGCCUUCGGGUUGUAAACCGCUUUCGCCUGUGACGAAGCGUGAGUGACGGUAAUGGGUAAAGAAGCACCGGCUAACUACGUG
rnacentral:rRNA from 1 species